rnacentral:misc_RNA from 1 species
GCCAAACGGUGUAUUAUUUCCACGGCAGCAGCAUUUGUCAUAUAAUUUGCGGAUCCUGCUGGAUAGAUGGCCCAUUUAAUAAGGGAAUCAUUUCCUUUUGUCGAUAAGUUCAUUAAGUGGACCUGUGAGAAGUUAAUGUCCAACUCUUGGGCAAUGAGAUGGGUAAGCUCUGUCAUGUGAGGGUUCAAGUCCAAGUGAUUCACACUCAGUGACAUAUAAAAUGUAAUGAAUCCAACCUUAAUUUCUCCGGAUGCAUUAUACCCAGGAGAU